rnacentral:rRNA from 1 species
AUUGAACGCUGGCGGCAUGCCUUACACAUGCAAGUCGAACGGUAACGCGGGGCAACCUGGCGACGAGUGGCGAACGGGUGAGUAAUGUAUCGGAACGUGCCCAGUAGUGGGGGAUAGCCCGGCGAAAGCCGGAUUAAUACCGCAUGAGACCUGAGGGUGAAAGCGGGGGAUCGCAAGACCUCGCGCUAUUGGAGCGGCCGAUAUCAGAUUAGGUAGUUGGUGGGGUAAGAGGCUACCAAGCCGACGAUCUGUAGCUGGUCUGAGAGGACGACCGCACACACGGCGACUGAGAAACGGCCCAGACUCCUACGGGAGGCAGCAGGUGGGAAUUUUGGGCAAUGGGCGCAAGCCUGAUCCAGCCAUGCCGCGUGCGGGAAGAAGGCCUUCGGGUUGUAAACCGCUUUUGUCAGGGAAGCAAUCUUCUGCGUUAAUACCUCGGGAGGAUGACGGUACCUGAAGAAUAAGCACCGGCUAACUACGUGCCAGCCGCCGCAGUAAUAC